UAGCUCAGUUGGUAAAGAAUCUGUCUGCAAUGCAGGAGACCCAGGUUCAAUUCCUGG
rfam:Ovis aries breed Texel chromosome 9, whole genome shotgun sequence.